rnacentral:rRNA from 1 species
UAAUUCCCAUGUAAAUUUAACUGUUAAUCUAAAGAGGUACAGCUCUUUAGAUCUAGGAUACAACCUUAAUUAGAGAGUAAAUCCAAAUAAACAACCAUAGUUGGCCCAAAAGCAGCCAUCAAUUAAGAAAGCGUUCAAGCUCAACAAAUAAUUACUCUUAAUUCAAGACUUUACAAUCACCUCCUAAUCAAACACUGGACUAAUCUAUAAUAUUAUAGAAGUAAUACUGUUAAUAUGAGUAACAAGAUUUAAAUCUCCCAAGCGCAAACUUAUGUCAGACCAAAUAAUAACUGAUAAUUAACAGCCAAUCAAACCAAACCUAAAAAUUAAUAAUUUAUGUUUUUACUGUUAACCCGACACAGGAGCGCUACAUAUUAAGGAAAGAUUAAAAGAAGUAAAAGGAACUCGGCAAACAUAAACCCCGCCUGUUUACCAAAAACAUCACCUCUAGCAUCUCAAGUAUUAGAGGCACUGCCUGCCCAGUGACAAUUGUUUAACGGCCGCGGUAUCCUGACCGUGCAAAGGUAGCAUAAUCAUUUGUUCUUUAAAUAAGGACUUGUAUGAAUGGCCACACGAGGGUUUAACUGUCUCUUACUUCCAAUCAGUGAAAUUGACCUUUCCGUGAAGAGGCGGAAAUAAAUUAAUAAGACGAGAAGACCCUAUGGAGCUUUAAUUUAUUUUAUCCAAAAAGAAAUAAUUUAUUCACAAAUUAGUGAUCUAACAGAUAUUCUAUACUGGAUAAAAAAUUUUGGUUGGGGUGACCUCGGAGAACAAAACAACCUCCGAGAAUCUAAUACCAAGACUCACAAGUCAAAGUAAAUCAUACCACUGAUCCAGUCUAACUGAUCAACGGAACAAGUUACCCUAGGGAUAACAGCGCAAUCCUAUUUAAGAGUCCAUAUCGACAAUAGGGUUUACGACCUCGAUGUUGGAUCAGGACAUCCUAAUGGUGCAGCCGCUAUUAAUGGUUCGUUU